rnacentral:rRNA from 1 species
AUUGAACGCUGGCGGCAUGCCUUACACAUGCAAGUCGAACGGUAACAGGUUAAGCUGACGAGUGGCGAACGGGUGAGUAAUGUAUCGGAACGUGCCCAGUCGUGGGGGAUAACUGCUCGAAAGAGCAGCUAAUACCGCGUACGACCUGAGGGUGAAAGCGGGGGAUCGCAAGACCUCGCGCGAUUGGAGCGGCCGAUAUCAGAUUAGGUAGUUGGUGAGGUAAAGGCUCACCAAGCCGACGAUCUGUAGCUGGUCUGAGAGGACGACCAGCCACACUGGGACUGAGACACGGCCCAGACUCCUACGGGAGGCAGCAGUGGGGAAUUUUGGACAAUGGGCGCAAGCCUGAUCCAGCCAUGCCGCGUGCGGGAAGAAGGCCUUCGGGUUGUAAACCGCUUUUGUCAGGGAAGAAAAGGUUCUGGCUAAUACCUGGGACUCAUGACGGUACCUGAAGAAUAAGCACCAGCUAACUACGUGCCAGCAGCCGCCGUAACAC